GACUGACAAAAAUUAUUUUUUUGAAAUUUUUGUGAAGGGUUGUCUCUUAAUUUUUUGUUUGUGGAAGCAUUUCUAAAUCGUUUUUUUUUUUCAAAUUUGCCACAUUUUUGACGCAUUUCAUGAUAAGGUUUGAUUUUUCAAUCAAAAGUAAUGCGAGUUACAAAUCAAAAAAUGACAUAUUUGUAAUUUUUUGGUCAAAAAAGGUAAUUUUAUUGUUUCGUCUCUAUAAAAAAAUUUACCUAAAGCAUUCAUUUAAGAGGGCUUAAGGCAAGUGCGUUCAUCUUACCCCAGUGUGGGAUUUUUGGGCAUUAUCGUCAAGAAAUGUGGCCAAAAUUUUUUUUUUAUAGGAAGUCAUAGGAAAGUUUUUCAAAAAAAGAAACACAUAAAAUGCAUGAAAUCUUUAUUUGAAUCGAUAGUACGGUCCAUUUUUAAAUGCAAGUUUCUUUGUGGAUGGCAAGCAAUUAAAAGCAUACCAAUUUCAUCUGGGUUGAAAAUAUCGAUAUGACUGUAUUCUUUGAUAAUGCUGGAUGUACCAAGCCAUUCCGAACAUGUCGCAAAAUCAAAAUGUCUUGACAAUGCUGCAAACUCCAUUUCCUUUUCCCUGAUUGUUUGCCCAGAUAGUGGAUUGUUUUUAUUUCUUGCUGUUGUAGUCCAUCGGAGCCAUGAAACUUCGUCAACAUCUGAAUACUUACGCAUACUAACCUUCUAUAAUCUACUGGAUAUAGAUGUCGUACUAGCUUUUUAGA